CGAUCGGGCUUUAGACGGGGAGUUAAGGACAAAGUGUUUCGUGAGGAAAAAGAGAAAUCCCUGAAGAAAAAAGAAAAAACGAGGAGGAAAAGGAGGGUUUGGGCUGACAAAAGGCGGCGCCGGCCGGGGCUGCCCCUCAGGCGCUGCCCCCCCGCGCUCGCUUCACAAAAUGGCCGCCCGGCGGGGCCGCAGGAGCGGCACUGAGGCGACAAAAUGGCGGCGGGCGGAGAGCGGGGGGAACGACGGGCGAGGAGCGGCGGCGGGGUCGGAGCGGCACGGGCACGGCGGAGGGGCUCUGAUCCUGUGUGAAUCCCCUUCGGGCGGGCGGCGAAAGAGUUGGGUUGAAGCCGCCAUCUCCCGCUCUCUUCACGGCAUGGAAAAUCCCCAAAAGUGCUUAGGGGAAAAAAAAAAAAAAACCAAACCACCAAGAAAAAAAAAGUCCCAAACGCCCGAGGAUUGAUUUAUCAUCGGAGCCGGAGUGGUGUGGGAAGAAGCCAUCGCUGCUCGCCUGCUCCCCACAACAGUUUGCCCGCCAUUCGCUUAAUUAAAAUCAUAUAUUGGUGUGAUCAGACGUGGUAAUACCAUUUAAAAAAAAACCCCAAAUCCCGUAACAUCCACACGCUCGUUGUUGGAGGCUGCAGCCAAGAGAUGUAGAUUUUCCUUGGGAGAUUUGGGAAGGAUUAUUUUUUAAUGAAAAAGAGGAAAAAAAAGACACCCAGAAAAAACAAAAACAAAACAAACAGUGAAAAAGAAACAAAAAGGAAAAGAAGCACAACAAAACCAAACCGCAGUAAGUGAAGCUGCAAAUGCAACCGAACAGUCCGGAUCAGACAACUCAUUGCACAAGAAAAGAGGAUAAAUGGAACUGCUAUGGCCGGCUUUGCUGUAGAUCCAGGAGGAGGGAUCAGCUCCUUUAUCCCACCAUCUCGCGCUCCAAACACCACCAUUUUUUUUCUUUUUUUUUUCUCUCUCUCUCUUUUUUUUUUUUUUUUUUUUUUAAAUGUGCUUUGUUGGAGCGUUUUGUUUCCAGCCGAGGCGGCUGCACCACCCCCCGACCCGGGGCUGCCAGAGCCGCUCGGGGGCUUCACUUUUACAGAGAUCUCUGUUUUUCCCCGGCCUUGUGCAAUCCUCUCCCUUUUAUUACAAGGGUUUUUUUUUCCUCUCCCCUCUGCGGCUAUAAAGGUUUCUCUCUCCAGCUUGGCUGCUUAUUCCAGAAGUUUCCACGGGGGCGGAGAGCCCCCACUGCGGCGCCUUUGCCGCAGCGCCGGGCAGGAGGAGGAGGAUGCGGAGGAUGCACCACCUCUCCCUGGCUGGGAGCCUCAUUCCAAGCCUCUCCCCCUUGCUCCAUUCGCCCAGCCUUGAAAACAGAGCGCUGGGAGGUGUUUGCAACUUGUCCCCAAGUGACCUCCUGCAGCGCUGCCUUCACUGUAGUUCCACCACAGCUUUGCACUGGAGCACUAAUGUGUGUCCCUGCGAGCCAGAGUGACCUUGCUGGGGGGACUGGGCCCACCGAGUGAUUCAGCGCUGGAAUCUGCAUUGGCAGGUGUGCAAAUGUGGAGACUGUAACAGCAGCAAGUGAGGAUGGAUGAGCUGUUUUCUGGGGUCACGUCCAACUCCAGAGAAGAAACCGUGGUGAUUGAUAAUUUUUUUCUUGUCUCUGCUGGCUGUUGUGUACAUGGAACCCUCCUGGCACUCGUCUCAACCCUCUCCUGUCAACAGUCGAUGGCUUUGUUUGCGACAGCUCCCAGCCCCUGCAUGUCCUGUGAGAUGCCUGGGUGACAGCAGUGACUCCGUGUGAGAUUCCCUGGAAGGACCUGGGAGCUGGUAUGGUUUCCUCAUGUCCCUCAGAGGUGCCACCUCAGCAAGGAGGAAGAACAAUUGGAAUUGCAGUUGCAGCAAGCGCACUCCGUCAGAGAGGGAGAAUUCGUCAUGGAGAAGUUGUUUGAUUUUUUGGCGGUCUUGUUUUGGGUUUUUCCUCUCCAAAAUGGAGAGCCCGUUAAAGGCAGAGACACGUAGGAACUGCUCCUUGGGCUUCCCACCAGGUAAAAUGGAAAGCUGAGCCCAAUUCCACGCUGGAAGCACCAGUGAAGCGUGUUGGCAGCGCAUUUUCUCGUGCACACGUGGCUCCAUCACGUUUUAAAUAAUAGAUGGUUUGCGUGCAAGGAGGUGUUGGGAUUUUUAAUUAAUUAGUAGAUCCCAGUUUGGCAGAGCCCAUCAUCACUGGGGAAACUGAGGCAUGGGGCUGCCAAAGGAUGGGCUCACAGCCACUGGAGUUGGGGACAAGGCUCGGGGCCACCGCAGAUCGAGUCCACGUGCGUCAGAGAUCUGAUUAAAUCAAGAGAUUUGCAUGUUUGUUAAGCCACUACAGCUCAGUGACUUUGACCAGUAGCGAGGUGGACUUGUUGCCAGAAGGUUACGGUAUCCGGCCGGACUGGGUGGCAAAAGGCAGCUCUGACAAACAAAAUGUGGGUUUGAUCAAUACCAAAACGUCAUCAGGAGACUUUGGCCAUGGAAAAUACUGAACUAUGGGUUUGCUGUGUGGUGAAAGCAGUGAAGGUUUCAAACACCAA